CAGCCGCCGCGGUAAAACGGAGGGUGCGAGCGUUAAUCGGAUUUACUGGGCGUAAAGCGUGCGUAGGCGGCUUUUUAAGUCGGAUGUGAAAUCCCUGAGCUUAACUUAGGAAUUGCAUUCGAUACUGGGAAGCUAGAGUAUGGGAGAGGAUGGUAGAAUUCCAGGUGUAGCGGUGAAAUGCGUAGAGAUCUGGAGGAAUACCGAUGGCGAAGGCAGCCAUCUGGCCUAAUACUGACGCUGAGGUACGAAAGCAUGGGGAGCAAACAGGAUUAGAUACCCGUGUAGUCCCUGUCUCUUAUAC
rnacentral:rRNA from 1 species